UACGUAGGGGGCGAGCGUUGUCCGAAGUUACUGGGCGUAAAGCGGGCGUAGGCGGGCUGUUAAGUCGGAAGUGAAAGGCUGGGGCUCAACCCCAGCAGUGCUUCCGAUACUGGCAGUCUUGAGGGCGGUAGGGAGAAGUGGAAUGGCUGGUGUAGCGGUGAAAUGCGUAGAUAUCAGUCGGAACACCGGUGGCGAAGGCGGCUUCUUGGGCCGUUCCUGACGCUGAGGCGCGAAAGCCAGGGGAGCGAACGGGAUUAGAUACCCCGGUAGUCCUGGCCGUAAACGAUGGAUACUAGGUGUUGGGGGUAUCGACCCCCCCAGUGCCGCAGCUAGCGCAUUAAGUAUCCCGCCUGGGGAGUACGGCCGCAAGGUUGAA
rnacentral:rRNA from 1 species